rnacentral:rRNA from 1 species
UCAAGAAUAUUCCUCAAUGGACGAAAGUCUGAAGGAGCGACGCCGCGUGCAGGAUGAAGGUUUUCGGAUCGUAAACUGCUUUUACAAGGGACGAAUUCGUGACGGUACCUUGUGAAUAAGAGGUUGCUAACUCUGUGCCAGCAGCAGCGGUAAUACAGAGACCUCAAGCGUUAUCCGGAUUUAUUGGGCGUAAAGCGUCCGCAGGUGGUUUAGUGUGUCGGGGGUUAAAACCUAACGCUCAACGUUAGGAUCGCCUUCGAAACUGCUAAACUAGAGUAUGGAAGAGGCAAGCGGAAUUCUCGGUGUAGUCGUAAUAAGCGUUGAUAUCGAGAAGAACACCAAAUGCGAAGGCAGCUUGCUAGUACAUUACUGACACUCAUGGACGAAAGCGUGGGGAGCAAACAGG